AUUUGACAGACAAUGAAUGAAGUUGGUGUAUUUAAAGAUUCUUCAAGAUUUUAGCAGCUUCACAACAAAACCAUCGGCAAGUUAAAUAUUAAGUAAAUGUUAAGGUUUAUUUGCUUUACUAAUUUCACUUUUUUUUUCUGUUUUUCAUACACUUUCAAACAGAAGUCAACAUCAGCAAGACACAACAGCUUUUGAGUUCAACUGGAAGAUUACAAAUAGCCAGCAGAGAUUUGGGUCCGGCAGAUCUUCAGUCACUUCGAGAGCAGAAGACAUUAAGUUGACUGCACAUAAUUUCAAAUAUUUGCUUUUUUAGAACUAGAAAAAUAACUUUGACAUUGUAAGUUCACAAAAUAAUAUACAACAAAACAGGAAAUGUCUGGGUUUUUUAAAGAAGAAGUUGGCUCCACAAAGCCUUCAGAUGCUGUUAAAAUAAAUGUCAGCAAACCAUUUGAAAUGCCACCAGGAUUUCUCCCAGUUUAUAUGAUUCACCUGGAAAAGAACAUGACAUUCAAUGUAGAUGGAUGCGAGAGUUUUAGUUUUGGAGAAGAGUCCAGUAAACCUAAUCGCACCAUAAUGCUUAUGGGCGCAACCGGUGCUGGGAAGUCAACUCUCAUCAACGGGAUGAUCAAUUACAUUUUAGGUGUUAAAUGGGAGGAUCCAUAUCGAUUGAACUUAGUGAAUGACACUCAGUCAACAUCACAAGCUCACAGUCAGACUUCUGAAGUCACUGUGUUCAAAAUCAACUACCAGGAUGAUUUUAAAAUCCCGUUCUCUCUGACCAUUGUGGACACUCCAGGCUUUGGAGAUACAAGAGGCAUAGAAAGAGACAGAGAGAUUGUAGAGCAGCUACGUAAUCUCUUCUCUGCUCAGCAUGGUGUCAGUGAAAUCGAUGCUGUGUGUUUUGUAGCUCAGGCUGCUUUAGCACGACUCACAGCAGCACAAAGAUAUGUGUUUGAUUCAGUGCUCUCAAUCUUUGGAAAAGAUGUGGCAGAAAACAUCAGGGUUCUGGUGACAUUUGCAGACAGUCAGCGACCUCCAGUUCUAGAGGCAAUCAAUGCUGCAGGAGUCCCAUGUCCUAAAACAAAAGACGGGCUGCCGGUUCACUUCAAAUUCAAUAAUUCAGCGCUGUUUAUAAACAACAAACCAGCUGUGGCAGACAGCAUGAAUGAUGAUGAUGACAAUGAUAAUGAUGAUGAUGAAGAGGACUUCAAUCAGAUGUUUUGGAAGAUGGGGACAAAAAGUAUGAAGAGGUUUUUUGCCGCUCUGAAUAAAAUAGAAACCAAAAGCUUGACACUGACAAAGGAGGGCCUCAGAGAAAGAAAGCAGCUCGAGAUUUCAGUUGAGAAUCUGCAGGUACAAGUUAAACUUGGGUUAGCCAAGCUUGAGGAGAUAAAAGAGACGAGGGAAAAGAUUAAAAACUGCAAGGCAGAGAUCAGCAGAAAUGAAAGCUUUGAGUUUGAAGUUUCUGUUAAAAUCCCUGCUCCGGAGGAUAUUUCGAAUCCUGGAAACCACAUCACCAAUUGCAAGCAGUGUCAUUACACCUGUCACUACCCUUGCCAGACAGCAAAUGAUGCAGAUAAACGUGGCUGUGCAGCAAUGGGGCCAAAUGGAUACUGUAGAGAGUGCCCAGGAAAAUGCAUCUGGAAUGUACAUUAUAAUCAGAAGUACAAAUGGGUGUAUAAAGAAGUUAAAGAAAAACGAACAAUAAAGGAGCUGAGAAAAAAGUACUUGAAGGCCACAGGAGAGAAGAUGACUGUUCAAGCACUGGUUGACAAACUGAAUGCUGAGUAUGACUGUUUGCAGGCUGAGGUGGUGAAACUGGUGGAGAAAUCUGCAGAGUGUCUGAACAGACUCAAAGAGAUAGCACUGAAGCCAAACCCUCUGUCCACUCUAGAACACAUCGACGUGCUUAUUGAAGGAGAGAAAACUGAGGCUAAACCAGGCUGGAAGCAACGAGUUCAGUCUCUGAGGUCCAUGAAAGAAAAAGCAGAUCUCAUGGCUCACGUGGAGAAAUUUAAUUAAAAAUUUCUUGAUGCUACAUCUUUGACAAUUCACAAAUAAAAUAAGAUAAAUAAAGACAGAAGUAGCAUCAAAUAUUUAGAGGCAUUAAAUCUCAGCCAGCAACAGCAAUAUUAAGUAAUUUUAAGGUUUUACCACUUGUGCAAUUCUAAAUUUUUUUAGUUUUUUUAGUUUAAUGCUUUAUCAUUUUUUACAUCACUUUAGACAACAUAAAACCUAAAUAACAUACAACACUGAUCACAAUAUAACUGUUUUAUUUCUUCAUUCAAUUAUUUUAUUCCCUCUUAACUGUUUAUAAUGCCUGACACACACUGUUCUCCAUGUUUUAAAUCUGCUUUAUGUUUUUUAUGUCAUAAAAUGCAAAUAUUAUUGAUAUAAGAGAUUUUUAUUCUGAGUUACAUGUUAUGUCUAUUCUUGUAAUAGCCUGCUGAAUGAUGGUGACAUCAUUAAAUAAUAAACUUUCAUAAACUUGAGAACACAUGUUCUG